GACAACUGGUGGCGGCGCACCCAGUGGGCUGUCUAAUCCGCAUUUCAACUGAGAUAUCCUGUCCCUCGGGGUUGCAGGUGAUUGCAGAGAUUUACCGGAGGGUGGAUUUCGGAUCUUCAUCAUGGAAACCGGGUCAGGCCCGGAAGGGAGCAGCCUCACCGUGGACUUCCGACGCUCGAGUGGGUCGCGGGGUUGAGAAGGAAUGUGGUGUCUGACAAUCCUCCAGGACGACAACAUCAGUGGUCUGGCA
rnacentral:SRP_RNA from 1 species